rnacentral:lncRNA from 1 species
GGAGUGGGUGGGCAAACGGGGCAGACCGAGGGGAUAGGCUCCCCAGUCUCCCCUCCAAGCCCCCCACUCUGUCCACUGCUCCCGAAGGUGGAGGAAGUUAUGCCUCUGGCUCCCUCCCUCCCUCCCUCCUUUUGUGUACAAGCUGUCUACGACAGGGGGUGGGAGGGGGCAUGCAGAUGCAGGGGGUGGUGGCGUGGCUCCGCAACUUUGGAAACUGCCAUUUCAUUCACACAGGCGCUGCCUGGGGGAGGGGGCUGCUUCAGGCUGCAGAAUUCUAGUUCUCACCAGCACACAGGCAACCCCACUCGCGGCGGUGUGGGGCCGGCCGCUCAGAGGAAGCACCGAGCUCUCCGACCCAGCUACCGGUUUCUUCAACUGUGAAAUGGAGUUCGUAGUGGCGCUUGAGAAAGCUCUUAGUCUCCAGCCCAGCCGGGAGAGGUGGCUCAUGCCUGUAAUCCUAGAACUUUGGGAGGCCGAGGCGAGAAGAUCACCUGAGGUCGGGAGUUCAACACCAACUUGACCAACAUGGAGAAACCCCGUCUCUACUGAAAAUGCAAAAUUACCCGGACGUGGUGGCACAUGCAUGUAAUCCCAGCUACUCGAGAGCCUGAGGCAGGAGACUCGCUUGAACCGGGGAGGCGGAGGUUGCGGGUUCAAGCAACCUGGGGAACAAGAGCGAAACUCAGCUUCAAAAAAAAAAAAAAAGUCUCCGGGCCAUAAUAGCUGUGUCAACUAUUAUGAUGAUGAUGGCCACGACUUGACAUUCUUCCCGGUGAAAUUAACACCUCUUUGUCCAGCAGCAGCAUGGGCCCCUCCCUUCCCGCUACGAUCAAAUCUUGGCUUCACUCUGUCCUAGCUUUCUUACAGGUGCAUUUGUUUGCGGGGUGAGGGGGGGCGUCAGACAUUAUUGUCCCUGCCCUCCAAACUCUCCAAGAACAACCCUGAUCUCCUGGACUGUCCCCUUCACAACCAAACACACAGUGAGGUGGGUUUUGCUUUGAAAAACAUUCCUUAGGCUUGUUUGGAGGCAGGGGAUUGCGGAUUGGGGUGGGAAAGCUUCCCCACCUCCCCCCAUUUUUUUCUCCAAACUGGAAAUGCCAUUCCCCAUCUCCCCACCGCUAGGACUCACCUUUGGAUCUAGUUAAUGAGGAGGAUGCUUCGGGUCAGGGGGCAGCCCAUAAAAUGCUCACAGAUUAGCAUUUGUGAAGGCUUUCCCAGCCCUGACCCUGGAUGCCCAGGGAGCUCUAGGGAGAAAGACGGAUUCUCAGAGUUCUAAGAAGCCCAUGAAUGCGGAUGAGCUGUCCUUCCAGGCACCUUUAUUAUUGCUAUUUCCUUCACAAAUGUAAAAGGCUUCACCUUUGCACAGGCCUUUUACAGCCCCACUACUGCUUUUCCCUAGACCCCUAAUUGCCACCGAGCCCUCCUGCUGAAUUCUCACCUGGCAUCCUGUCCUUUCCUGCCAGGCACUCACCUCCAUGUGUCAUUUUCUUUGCCUGGAGUAUUUGCUCAGUGCCCACUUCCAUGACACUGUGGAAGACAGGCUCAGUCUCCCUCACUAACCUGUGACCUGGGUCAGUUUUGCUCUGGAGGGGAUACUUGGGACACAGCAGCAUACCUGUAUGUAGUAAGUACUUGUGAUAAUUGUUUAAGACCAAGAUCACUGAAUGAGUCCUACCAAGGUGUCCAGAUCUUCCAUGCCAGGACUGUGAAAAUAGGCCAGGAGAGGUCCAGUUGCUCUGAUUCAAAGUCCUACCCUUGUCCUUUCUCAUCAGAUGAAUGACCAUCACCAGGUCAUUCACCCUUUGUCAAGGGACAAGGUGUAGCAGAAAAAGGGGGCAGAAGGACAGGAAACCUGGUUACCCUACAUGCCUCUGAGCAAAUCAUUUAUACUUCCUGGACCUCAAUUUCUAAUCUCCUGCUUUUAAUGCAAGCCAGUAAUUACUGACAAGUCUGAAUCUGAAGGUUAACAGAAUGAUAAAAUUCAACAUUUAUUAGUUACCUUCAUUUGUAAGUAGAAAAAGACUCUGUACAUGGAGAAAAUGUGCUAAUGCUGAUUUUUAGUCUGUUUGUAGAGAAGCCUGAAAGUCCCUCUUAAAAGUGUUGAAAUGCUUCAGCUACGUGAACACAUGCAAAACAGAUCUUCAGAUGGCUUCAAAGUCAAGGUUUUGUUCAGUACUGCUGUGGUUUGAAUGUGUCCCCCCAAAAAAAACACAUGUUGGAAAUGUAACCCCCAGUGCAACCAUGUUGGAGGGCAUCUAGGUCCUAGUGAAUCAAAUGCCAGUGACCCCAAUCAGUGUCUAGGCUUUUGACACCGUCAAGAGAAUGAAUUCAAAGACCAGUUGGAAAAUAGUGAAAGUAGGAUGUAUUGUAAAGGGAAAAGUACACACUCAAGAAAAGGGAAUGCAGGUGUACUCAAGAAAUUGGGGGUUGGGGCUACUACCUUUAUGGAUUUCUUUAACCAAGAGGCAGGAUGUUCAUGAUCAUUCCUAGAAAAAAGGUGGAGACUUCUCAGAACUGUGAUACCCCCUAUGUUUAUACCAAAUAUGGAUGUUCUCCAAACUGUCAUAAUGCUGGUGGGGCAUGUGAUUUAGUAUGUUAAUGAGUAUACAGUGAGGUCUUAGG